rnacentral:lncRNA from 13 species
GCCAUUGAUUGCAGGCAUUUGCUGAGGCCAUUUGCCAUAAAUUAACUUUCUGCGCUAUGCUACAAUAAACUCAGUAUCUUUCCCACUCUUUUAAACAAGAAAACAGGUUGGAUCAAAACUCUGGCAGCAGAAUCCACUGCUUCCAAGUAAAAUGAUGAAAAUACUGGCAAUUUAGGAGAACUGUCUGCUACACUCCCCUUUUAUUCCUCUGGUGAUGUGAGUAGAAAGAAGAUAUUAGUUAUCAUAAUGUGCAUGAACUUGGACUUCAAUGCAAAAUUUAUAAAGAAGAUCAAAUGGAUCAUUUCUACUAAAUAAGGGGAGUGUUUGAAGUCUUUUGCUGUAAUGCUGAUUGUAAGUAUUUGAAAUGUAGUUACUGAAAUUUAAUCUCUCAUUUAGGGGUAGUGACAAAUCACAUACUGUUGGUUCCACUUCCUGACUGUAU